rnacentral:rRNA from 1 species
UAGGGAAUCUUCGGCAAUGGGGGCAACCCUGACCGAGCAACGCCACGUGAGUGAAGAAGGUUUUCGGAUCGUAAAGCUCUGUUGUAAGAGAAGAACGUGUGUGAGAGUGGAAAGUUCACACAGUGACGGUAACUUACCAGAAAGGGACGGCUAACUACGUGCCAG